rnacentral:rRNA from 1 species
CUAAGAUUGGUCGCGGACGGAUGAGCCCGCGUAGGAUUAGGUAGUUGGUGUGGUAAAGGCGCCCAAGCCGACGAUCCUUAGCUGGUCUGAGAGGAUGAUCAGCCACACUGGGACUGAGACACGGCCCAGACUCCCACGGGAGGCAGCAUGGGGGAAUAUUGGACAAUGGGCGAAAGCCUGAUCCAGCAAUGCCGCGGGAGUGAUGAAGGCCUUAUGUGUUGUAAAGCUCUUUUACCCGGGAUGAUAAUGACAGUACCGGGAGAAUAAGUCCGGCUAACUCCGUGCCAGCAGCCGCGGUAAUACGGAGGGAGCUAGCGUUAUUUGGAAUUACUGGGCGUAAAGCGCACGUAGGCGGGCUUUGUUAGUAACAGGGUGAAAAGCCUAAAGCUCAACUCUGGAAUUGCCUUUUAACUGUAUCGCUUGAAUCAUGGAGAGGUA